GUGAGCCGUGUGCGGGAGAACCGCAUGCACGGUUCGAGGAGGCGGGGGCUGGAGACGGAAGCGAAUUGGCCAU
rnacentral:ncRNA from 1 species